UACGGAGGGGGCAAGCGUUGUUCGGAAUUACUGGGCGUAAAGGGCGCGUAGGCGGCCUGUUAAGUCGGACGUGAAAUCCCCGGGCUCAACCCGGGAACUGCGUCCGAUACUGGCAGGCUUGAAUCCGGGAGAGGGAUGUGGAAUUCCAGGUGUAGCGGUGAAAUGCGUAGAUAUCUGGAGGAACACCGGUGGCGAAGGCGGCAUCCUGGACCGGCAUUGACGCUGAGGCGCGAAAGCGUGGGGAGCAAACAGG
rnacentral:rRNA from 1 species